GAUUCGAGUAGUUGCACGAAAGCAUUUCUCUUACUUUAUUAAUGUUAUUGUGCUUGAAGUUGUGCCUUUUACUUAACAUUUAUUCGCAGAGUCAGUCCAGUAAAAUUGUUUAGACUUUAUUCGCGGCGAUUCGAUUGUCUAGUUCCAUUUAUUUUGAACUAUUGUUUGUGUAUCGCUCUCGUGGAAGUUGCGUAUCACGUUCGCUUCGUGUCGUUUUUCUUCUCGUUCCCUAUACGUGUGAUCACGUCCAUCAUCCCACACGGGAAGAUUCUUUACACUUGGAAAAAAAACAAAUAUUGGCUUUAUAUGAAAAGUCAGCCAACAGUCUACAUCCAAGAAUCCUAGGAUUGACUGCAUCAAUUGUGACUAACAUAUGCAAGCCAAUAGAACUAUUCCAAUUGACAACUAUUGGGGAAAACAAAUUGCAGUCAGCUAUUUACUUUCAAACAAUGUUUUAUCAGCAUUACGCGCUAGGACGGAAAUCCCGCCCCAAUUAUGGCCGUCCAUUGGAGCACCACCUUCGUCGCCGGAUAUAAAAGGGGCGACUUUGCACACCUGUGUGGCUUUUUGAUUAAUUGGUUAGGGCAGUUAGUUGCAGUUGUGUCAUUAAACCCUUUUGGUAAAAUACACAUUAUCUUUUAAUCUGAA